AUGAUUGUUGUAACACACCACCUUAAAAUUCACACCGUGUCUGUCUCACACAAACACUUGUUGAGAUCUCUCUCAUCACCUCUCUUGUUUCUCUUCUUCUUUUAUAUAAAGUUUUUCCUUUUCUUGUACCCAAUUGGAUUCUCAUCUGAACCCAGUAAUACGUUAUGUCAGUGUGUUGUGAGGAAGCUGUAUUUUGAAUUAUUGGUGCUGCGACAUUCGGUUGGGUUUUGGAUUGUGGAUUUGACUUUGAAUGUUUGGUGA